CAGCAGUUAGAGUGAUGAGAGCCUUAUUCGGAGUGACUCAUGUGCUCGUUUUGUUGUUUGCAUUAGCAGAAGGACCACAGCCAUCGCCCGUCUCCCAUCUCCAAAAUGGCGGAGGCAGCUUCAACCUCACCUCUCGCGAUGAGUUCGUCCUACUGUCUCUGAUUAGCCCUGAGGUCAGAGGAGAACCCAAGCUGUCCUACUCCAGUAUGUUCCAAAAGUCUUCCAAAGGAUCCCAGUUUCUCCCCAUGUAGGAGUCCUAGGAGUCUAAUACCAGUUCGGUCACUUAUCUGUGCAUGGCUUCAGACAAAAAAAAGCCGUUUCAUCUACGUCAGGGAUUUCAUCUAUGAAAAGGAAGGCCUCUCACCGCUGUGGCCUCUUCCGUUGCAGAGCACAGGCUCCGGAUGCA